rnacentral:lncRNA from 1 species
AUUCAGGUCUAGACACACUCGACGCAUAUUGCUCCCAGUAUACAGCAGAAAACAAAACAGUUUGUUGCCGUUGAGUGCCCAUUGCGGUGCGAUGACAUCAGCUCUGUCUGCUGCACUAAAAAAGCCCACACUUGAUCAAGCAGCAUCCUCAGCUCUUGCAGAUAGCUUGAAGGCUCCUCCCAAAGCGGCCACUGCUUCGGGUUUUGAUCUUUCAUCUAUUCCCUUACCUCCCAGUGCCUUCCCGGGCCUGUACCAGUCUUCCGCAGCUGAAGAUGACUUUGUUGCUGAGCUCGAGAGCUUGGCACUGGGCACUAGUAUAGGGACGCAGGCGAUUGGAUCCCUGAAGUCCCGGUCUGGUACACCUGUGGUGCGUAACUACCUUGCUCAUGAGCUGGAUUCUGCAAGUGGCAUCUUCAAGCAGGACCUUGCCUUCCCAACUGCACUGCCAUUUCUAGGGUUGUCCUUUCCCUGCUUUCUCUGGCUGAUGCGUAUCACGGGUGCAUGGCCAUUUGUAGCUUGCAUCUGAUCAGCGGAAUCUUAAGUGCCUCAGUCCAGACAACAUCUGGAAAGAUUCUACCGGUGUCUGGCCAGUGGUAUAGGAAGUGCUCGAUCCGUGAGACUACAGUAAGCAAUGAUAGGAUGCUCGAUCCAGAUAAUAUUAAUUGAUCGUCGAUACAUUUAAAAAGGUCUGCAUGCCUCAUUUGUAUGUGUCUCUUUGCCUCAAUGCGCAGGCCGACUUUGAGCCAAACAGCAGGAAGCUGAGUGGCCAUGAACGCAUCCCGGCCAUCUAUGAAUCAGAGG